rnacentral:rRNA from 1 species
GUGGGGAAUUUUGGACAAUGGGCGCAAGCCUGAUCCAGCAACGCCGCGUGAGUGAUGAAGGCCUUCGGGUUGUAAAGCUCUGUCGGAGGGAACGAAUAAGGGUGACCUAACACGUCACCCCUUGACGGUACUCUCAAAGGAAGCACCGGCUAACUCUGUGCCAGCAGCCGCGGUAAGACAGAGGGUGCGAGCGUUGUUCGGAAUUACUGGGCGUAAAGGGCGUGUAGGCGGCAGAGUAUGUCCGAUGUGAAAUCCCUCGGCUCAACUGGGGAAGGGCGUCGGAAACUGCUCAGCUUGAGUGCAGGAGAGGGUGGCGGAAUUCCCAGAGUAGAGGUGAAAUUCGUAGAUACUGGGAGGAACACCUGAGGCGAAGGCGGCCACCUGGCCUGCAACUGACGCUGAUACGCGAAAGCGUGGGGAGCAAACAGGAUUAGAAACCCCUGUAGUCC